rnacentral:rRNA from 1 species
CAGUCGCCGCGGUAAUACGAAGGGUGCAAGCGUUAACCGGAAUUACUGGGCGUAAAGCGUGCGUAGGCGGUGAGUUAAGUCUGCUGUGAAAUCCCCGGGCUCAACCUGGGAAUGGCAGUGGAUACUGGCUCGCUAGAGUGUGUCAGAGGACGGUGGAAUUCCCGGUGUAGCGGUGAAAUGCGUAGAGAUCGGGAGGAACAUCAGUGGCGAAGGCGGCCAUCUGGGACAACACUGACGCUGAGGCACGAAAGCGUGGGGAGCAAACAGGAUUAGAUACCCGCGUAGUCCCUGUCUCUUAUAC